AUUGAACGCUGGCGGCAGGCCUAACACAUGCAAGUCGAGCGGAUGAAGGGAGCUUGCUCCUGGAUUCAGCGGCGGACGGGUGAGUAAUGCCUAGGAAUCUGCCUGGUUGUGGGGUAUAACGUCCGGAAACGGGCGCUAAUACCGCAUACGUCCUGAGGGAGAAAGUGGGGGAUCUUCGGACCUUUCGCUAUCAGAUGAGCCUAGGUCGGAUUAGCUAGUUGGUGGGGUAAAGGCCUACCAAGGCGACGAUCCGUAACUGGUCUGAGAGGAUGAUCAGUCACACUGGAACUGAGACACGGUCCAGACUCCUACGGGAGGCAGCAGUGGGGAAUAUUGGACAAUGGGCGAAAGCCUGAUCCAGCCAUGCCGCGUGUGUGAAGAAGGUCUUCGGAUUGUAAAGCACUUUAAGUUGGGAGGAAGGGCAGUAAGUUAAUACCUUGCUGUUUUGACGUUACCAACAGAAUAAGCACCGGCUAACUUCGUG
rnacentral:rRNA from 1 species